UUUCCCUACGGGAGGCAGCAGUGAGGAAUAUUGGUCAAUGGGCGGAAGCCUGAACCAGCCAAGUCGCGUGAGGGAAGAAGGCCCUGCGGGUCGCAGACCUCUUUGGACGGGGAGCAAGGCCGCCGACGUGUCGGCGGAAGGAGAGUACCCGUAGAACAAGCAUCGGCUAACUCCGUGCCAGCAGCCGCGGUAAUACGGAGGAUGCGAGCGUUAUCCGGAUUUAUUGGGUUUAAAGGGUGCGUAGGCGGAUUUUUAAGUCAGCGGUAAAAUGUCCGGGCUCAACCCGGGCCGGCCGUUGAAACUGG
rnacentral:rRNA from 1 species